UGGGGAAUUUUGGACAAUGGGCGCAAGCCUGAUCCAGCCAUGCCGCGUGUGUGAAGAAGGCCUUCGGGUUGUAAAGCACUUUCGGCCGGAACGAAAUCGCCUCCGUUAAUAGCGGGGGUGGAUGACGGUACCGGAAGAAGAAGCACCGGCUAACUACGUGCCAGCAGCCGCGGUAAUACGUAGGGUGCGAGCGUUAAUCGGAAUUACUGGGCGUAAAGGGUGCGCAGGCGGUUGCGCAAGUCAGGCGUGAAAUCCCCGGGCUUAACCUGGGAAUGGCGCUUGAAACUACGUGACUGGAGUAUGGCAGAGGGAGGUGGAAUUCCACGUGUAGCGGUGAAAUGCGUAGAGAUGUGGAGGAACACCGAUGGCGAAGGCAGCCUCCUGGGCCAAUACUGACGCUCAUGCACGAAAGCGUGGGGAGCAAACAGGAUUAGAUACCCUCGUAGUCCCUGAGCGGGCUGGCAAGGCGCAU
rnacentral:rRNA from 1 species